AAAAAACUAGAAACGUGAGUGCUCAUCACUCCUUAGCCGCCUGGUCAGGCGACCUAUAUUGGUGUUUCUUUUAUUCGGUUCUUUCUCCAGAAAUCUCUAAAAAACCAUGUCCGACGAGGAGCAUCACUUCGAGUCCAAAGCCGACGCUGGAGCGUCCAAGACCUACCCGCAGCAAGCCGGUACCAUCCGCAAAAACGGUUACAUCGUCAUCAAGAAUCGCCCUUGCAAGGUUGUUGAAGUUUCCACCUCCAAGACUGGAAAACACGGUCAUGCUAAGUGCCAUUUCGUUGGAAUAGACAUCUUCAAUGCCAAAAAGCUUGAAGAUAUUGUCCCCUCCUCCCAUAACUGUGAUGUUCCCCAUGUCACUCGUACCGACUACCAGCUAAUUGAUAUUUCUGAGGAUGGAUUUGUGAGUUUACUGACUGAAAAUGGGAACACUAAGGAUGACCUGAGGCUUCCAACU
rnacentral:misc_RNA from 1 species